rnacentral:rRNA from 1 species
CUCAUCAAGAACACUUGAAUGUCCGCGCCCGAUCUCGUCAGAUCUCGGAAGCAAAGCGUGGUCGGGCCUGGUUAGUACUUGGAUGGGAGACCACCUGGGAAUACCGAGUGCCGUAGGCA